rnacentral:rRNA from 1 species
UUCAACAUAUGCGCAGGUCGUUAGGUGUCUGGUAUACCCGAAGGCCUAGUGAAAGCGAGAGAUGCUACUCGGUAGUAUCACAGUGGCAUGAUCCUGGCAUCUAGCAUGCUAGGCGCAAUGCCUACCCGUUUAUUGGCCACGCGCCAUGGACGGAGUUAGAGCGCAUACGCUGAGACCCGAAAGAUGGUGAACUAUGCCUGGACAGGACGAAGCCAGAGGAAACUCUGGUGGAAGUCCGUAGCGAUUCUGACGUGCAAAUCGAUCGUCUGAUCUGGGUAUAGGGGCGAAAGACUAAUCGAACCAUCUAAUAGCUGGUUCCCUCCGAAGUUUCCCUCAGGAUAGCUGGUUAUCGAUAAACAGUUUCUCCCGGUAAAGCGAAUGAUUAGAGGUCUUGGGACCGAAACGGUCUCAACCUAUUCUCAAACUUUAAAUGGGUGAGAAGUCCGGCUUACUUGAUUUGAAGUCUGGACCGUAUAUUGAAUGCAUGAUAACUAAGUGGGCCAUUUUUGGUAAGCAGAACUGGCGCUGUGGGAUGAACCGAACGUUGAGUUACGGCGCCUGAUUAUAGACGCUCAUCAGAUACCACAAAAGGUGUUGGUUGCUAUAGACAGCAGGACGGGGCC